rnacentral:rRNA from 1 species
GAUGAACGCUGGCGGCGUGCCUAAUACAUGCAAGUCGAGCGAACAGACGAGGAGCUUGCUCCUCUGACGUUAGCGGCGGACGGGUGAGUAACACGUGGAUAACCUACCUAUAAGACUGGGAUAACUUCGGGAAACCUGAGCUAAUACCUGAUAAUAUAUUGAACCGCAUGGUUCAAUGGUGAAAGACGGUUUUGCUUUCACUUAUAGAUGGUUCCGCGCCGCCUUAGCUAGUUGGUAAGGUAACGGCUUACCAAGGCCACGAUCCGUAGCCGACCUGAGAGGGUGAUCGGCCACACUGGAACUGAGACGCGGUCCAGGCUCCUACGGGAGGCAGCAGUAGGGACUCUUGCGAAAUGGGCGAAAGCCUGACGGAGCAACGCCGCGUGAGUGAUGAAGGUCUUCGGAUCGUAAAACUCUGUUAUUAGGGAAGAACAAAUGUGUAAGUCACUAUGCACGUCUUGACGGUAACUAAUCAGAAAGCCACGGCUAACUACGUG